UUAGGGGUGUGUUAAAACCCCCCUUUUUUCCACAGGGGAGGAAAGGUUGCCCGGUACCCUUGGUGGAUUUAAGCCCCCCGGGGCUUAAACUUCCCGGGGCCCCAAGCCAGCCCGCCGGGUUUAAAUUCCGGGAAGGGGUUCCCAAGCCGUUACUUCGGGAAUCACCUGGGCGUAAAGCCCCAUGUAGGGCGGUGGUUUAAGUUGGAAGUGAAAGCCUACGGCUCACCCCGUGGAACAGCUUCUAAAACUGAAUAACUAGAGUCUGGGAGAGGAAGAUGGAAUUAGUAGUGUAGGGGUAAAAUCCGUAGAGAUUACUAGGAAUACCGAAAGCGAAGGCGAUCUUCUGGAACAGGACUGACGCUGAGAUGCGAAAGCGUGGGGAGCAAACAGGAUUAGAUACCCUGGUAGUCCACGCCCUAAACGAUGAAUGUUAGUCGUUGGAGUGCUAGCCACUUCAGUGAUGCAGCUAACGCAUUAAACAUUCCGCCUGGGGAGUACGGCCGCAAGGUUAAAACUCAAAGGAAUAGACGGGGACCCGCACAAGUGGUGGAGCAUGUGGUUUAAUUCGAAGAUACGCGAAGAACCUUACCUGGCCUUGACAUAUACCAGAAUCUACCAGAGAUGGUGGAGUGCCUUCGGGAGCUGGUAUACAGGUGCUGCACGGCUGUCGUCAGCUCGUGUCGUGAGAUGUUGGGUUAAGUCCCGCAACGAGCGCAACCCUCGUGACUAGUUACUAACAGCAUAGGCUGAGGACUCUAGUCAGACUGCCUUCGUAAGGAGGAGGAAGGUGAGGACGACGUCAAGUCAUCAUGGCCCUUACGGCCAGGGCGACACACGUGCUACAAUGGGAAGGACAAAGAGAAGCAAAACUGUGAGGUGGAGCAAAUAAUGAACCUUUUCUCAGUUCGGAUUGCAG
rnacentral:rRNA from 1 species